rnacentral:rRNA from 4 species
CCUGUGAGGGUUGCUGGAGGUAUCAGAAGUGCGAAUGCUGACAUAAGUAACGAUAAAGCGGGUGAAAAGCCCGCUCGCCGGAAGACCAAGGGUUCCUGUCCAACGUUAAUCGGGGCAGGGUGAGUCGACCCCUAAGGCGAGGCCGAAAGGCGUAGUCGAUGGGAAACGGGUUAAUAUUCCCGUACUUGGUGUUACUGCGAAGGGGGGACGGAGAAGGCUAUGUUGGCCGGGCGACGGUUGUCCCGGUUUAAGCGUGUAGGUGUGUGUUCCAGGUAAAUCCGGUUCACUUUAACACUGAGGCGUGAUGACGAGGCACUACGGUGCUGAAGCAACAAAUGCCCUGCUUCCAGGAAAAGCCUCUAAGCAUCAGGUAACAUCAAAUCGUACCCCAAACCGACACAGGUGGUCAGGUAGAGAAUACCAAGGCGCUUGAGAGAACUCGGGUGAAGGAACUAGGCAAAAUGGUGCCGUAACUUCGGGAGAAGGCACGCUGACACGUAGGUGAAGUGAUUUACUCACGGAGCUGAAGUCAGUCGAAG